rnacentral:rRNA from 1 species
CGGCGUGCCUAAUACAUGCAAGUCGAACGGCUUUUCUAUGGAAGCUUGCUUCCACUGAGAAGAUAGUGGCGAACGGGUGAGUAACACGUGGGUAACCUGCCCAUAAGAGGGGGGAUAACAUCCGGAAACGGGUGCUAAUACCGCAUAGUUUUCUUGAUUGCAUGAUUGAGAAAGGAAAGACGGCCUUUGUGCUGUCGCUUAUGGAUGGACCCGCGGCGUAUUAGUUAGUUGGUGAGGUAACGGCUCACCAAGACGAUGAUACGUAGCCGACCUGAGAGGGUGAUCGGCCACAUUGGGACUGAGACACGGCCCAAACUCCUACGGGAGGCAGCAGUAGGGAAUCUUCCGCAAUGGACGAAAGUCUGACGGAGCAACGCCGCGUGAGUGAAGAAAAGGUUUUCGGAUCGUAAAACUCUGUUGUCAGAGAAGAACAAGUUGGAGAGUAACUGCUCCAGCCUUGACGGUAUCUGACCAGAAAGCCACGGCUAACUACGUGCCAGCCGCAGC